rnacentral:rRNA from 2 species
CACACGACUCUCGGCAACGGAUAUCUCGGCUCUCGCAUCGAUGAAGAACGUAGCGAAAUGCGAUACCUGGUGUGAAUUGCAGAAUCCCGCGAACCAUCGAGUCUUUGAACGCAAGUUGCGCCCGAGGCCACUUGGCUGAGGGCACGCCUGCCUGGGCGUCACGC